rnacentral:rRNA from 1 species
GCGGCGUGCUAUACAUGCAAGUCGAACGCUUCUUUUUCCACCGGAGCUUGCUCCACCGGAAAAAGAGGAGUGGCGAACGGGUGAGUAACACGUGGGUAACCUGCCCAUCAGAAGGGGAUAACACUUGGAAACAGGUGCUAAUACCGUAUAACAAUCGAAACCGCAUGGUUUUGAUUUGAAAGGCGCUUUCGGGUGUCGCUGAUGGAUGGACCCGCGGUGCAUUAGCUAGUUGGUGAGGUAACGGCUCACCAAGGCGACGAUGCAUAGCCGACCUGAGAGGGUGAUCGGCCACAUUGGGACUGAGACACGGCCCAAACUCCUACGGGAGGCAGCAGUAGGGAAUCUUCGGCAAUGGACGAAAGUCUGACCGAGCAACGCCGCGUGAGUGAAGAAGGUUUUCGGAUCGUAAAACUCUGUUGUUAGAGAAGAACAAGGAUGAGAGUAACUGUUCAUCCCUUGACGGUAUCUAACCAGAAAGCCACGGCUAACUACGUGCCAGCAGCCGCGGUAAUACGUAGGUGGCAAGCGUUGUCCGGAUUUAUUGGGCGUAAAGCGAGCGCAGGCGGUUUCUUAAGUCUGAUGUGAAAGCCCCCGGCUCAACCGGGGAGGGUCAUUGGAAACUGGGAGACUUGAGUGCAGAAGAGGAGAGUGGAAUUCCAUGUGUAGCGGUGAAAUGCGUAGAUAUAUGGAGGAACACCAGUGGCGAAGGCGGCUCUCUGGUCUGUAACUGACGCUGAGGCUCGAAAGCGUGGGGAGCAAACAGGAUUAGAUACCCUGGUAGUCCACGCCGUAAACGAUGAGUGCUAAGUGUUGGAGGGUUUCCGCCCUUCAGUGCUGCAGCUAACGCAUUAAGCACUCCGCCUGGGGAGUACGACCGCAAGGUUGAAACUCAAAGGAAUUGACGGGGGCCCGCACAAGCGGUGGAGCAUGUGGUUUAAUUCGA